ACGUAGGGUGCAGGCGUUAAUCGGAAUUACUGGGCGUAAAGCGUGCGCAGGCGGUCUUUUAAGUCAGAUGUGAAAUCCCCGGGCUUAACCUGGGAACUGCGUUUGAAACUGGAAGGCUUGAGUGUGGCAGAGGGGGGUGGAAUUCCACGUGUAGCAGUGAAAUGCGUAGAGAUGUGGAGGAACACCGAUGGCGAAGGCAGCCCCCUGGGCUAACACUGACGCUCAUGCACGAAAGCGUGGGGAGCAAACAGG
rnacentral:rRNA from 1 species